UUAAGGAAUAUUGGACAAUGGACGCAAGUCUGAUCCAGCCAUGCCGCGUGAAGGAUUAAGGUCCUCUGGAUUGUAAACUUCUUUUAUAAGGGACGAAAAAAGGCUUUUCUAAGUCGUCUGACGGUACCAUAUGAAUAAGCACCGGCUAACUCCGUGCCAGCAGCCGCGGUAAUACGGAGGGUGCAAGCGUUAUCCGGAUUCACUGGGUUUAAAGGGUGCGUAGGCGGGCAGGUAAGUCAGUGGUGAAAUCCUAGAGCUUAACUCUAGAACUGCCAUUGAUACUAUCUGUCUUGAAUAUUGUGGAGGUAAGCGGAAUAUGUCAUGUAGCGGUGAAAUGCUUAGAUAUGACAUAGAACACCUAUUGCGAAGGCAGCUUACUACGCAUAUAUUGACGCUGAGGCACGAAAGCGUGGGGAUCAAACAGGAUUAGAUACCCGUGUAGUCC
rnacentral:rRNA from 1 species